rnacentral:rRNA from 1 species
UACAGAGGUGGCAAGCGUUGUUCGGAAUUACUGGGCGUAAAGGGCGCGUAGGCGGUUCGUCAAGUCCUGUGUGAAAUCCCCCGGCUCAACUGGGGAACUGCACAGGAAACUAGCGGGCUUGAGUUCGGGAGAGGGAAGCGGAAUUCCGGGUGUAGCGGUGAAAUGCGUAGAUAUCCGGAGGAACACCGGUGGCGAAGGCGGCUUCCUGGACCGACACUGACGCUGAGGCGCGAAAGCUAGGGGAGCAGACGGG